AUGCGACCGCCUGACGACCCGCGGCCGCGAGCGGCCGCUCCGGCCACCGCCUUCAAGGCCGGCGCCUCCGCCGCCAAGACCGGUGCCGAUGAGGUUGCUCUCGGUGCGGUCUCCGAACCAUCGCGGGGGUCUAAGGGGGCGGAUUUGUCCUCUCCCACUCGCGCGGCGGCGACGACAUCUGGGGGAAGGGUGGAUCAAUCGGCCACGGCAGGAGCAGAUCCCGGCGGCAAGUCGGACAGCGAGAUCGUGGGAAGACUGUCGAGGUGGAGGCAGUGGCAGGCACAAUUUGCAUAUGCGACGGCUCCGGAUGAUUGGAUCAUGGGGCGCCUCCAAUUCACUGCAUCCUCACGGUGGAUGGCUUUAUUGGAUUUGGAGAACAACGUGUUGGCCGGAGAUUACCUCCCGGACGGCGAUCAGAUUGAGAUAGGUCUUAGAUUUUCUUUGGAUGACUAUGACGUGGUUGUUGGUCAGUGUGUGCAGGUUGAUCAAAUCACGGCGGCUGGCCUGGUUGAUCUAACGAACACAACGACCACAAGUCGGGAUCGACCGGGAGGACACUUCUGGGUUCUAAUCGAGAGCGAUGAAGAAAAUGUGGGGGAGAUCGAGCAGGUCAUGUAG
rnacentral:rRNA from 1 species